GAUGAAGAACGUAGUGAAAUGCGAUAAGUAAUGUGAAUUGCAGAAUUCAGUGAAUCAUCGAAUCUUUGAACGCACAUUGCGCCCCCUGGUAUUCCGGGGGGCAUGCCUGUUCGAGCGUCAUUUCACCACUCAAGCCUCGCUUGGUAUUGGGCAACGCGGUCCGCCGCGUGCCUCAAAUCGACCGGCUGGGUCUUCUGUCCCCUAAGCGUUGUGGAAACUAUUCGCUAAAGGGUGUUCGGGAGGCUACGCCGUAAAACAACCCCAUUUCUAAGGUUGACCUCGGAUCAGGUAGGGAUACCCGCUGAACUUAAACAUAUCAAUAAGCGGAGGA
rnacentral:misc_RNA from 1 species